GGGCUGGUAGUUAAAUCCGGCAUAACGCCCCGUUGGCAAUGGGGAGGCUCCGGGUUCAAAUCCCGGCCAGUCCA
rnacentral:tRNA from 1 species